CUGGCGGCGUGCUUAACACAUGCAAGUCGAACGGAAAGGCCUCUUCGGAGGUACUCGAGUGGCGAACGGGUGAGUAACACGUGGGCAAUCUGCCCUGCACUUCGGGAUAAGCCUGGGAAACUGGGUCUAAUACCGGAUAGGACCUCAAGACGCAUGUCUUCUGGUGGAAAGCUUUUGCGGUGUGGGAUGGGCCCGCGGCCUAUCAGCUUGUUGGUGGGGUGACGGCCUACCAAGGCGACGACGGGUAGCCGGCCUGAGAGGGUGUCCGGCCACACUGGGACUGAGAUACGGCCCAGACUCCUACGGGAGGCAGCAGUGGGGAAUAUUGCACAAUGGGCGCAAGCCUGAUGCAGCGACGCCGCGUGGGGGAUGACGGCCUUCGGGUUGUAAACCUCUUUCACCAUCGACGAAGGUCCGGGUUUUCUCGGAUUGACGGUAGGUGGAGAAGAAGCACCGGCCAACUACGUGCCAGCAGCCGCGGUAAUACGUAGGGUGCGAGCGUUGUCCGGAAUUACUGGGCGUAAAGAGCUCGUAGGUGGUUUGUCGCGUUGUUCGUGAAAUCUCACGGCUUAACUGUGAGCGUGCGGGCGAUACGGGCAGACUAGAGUACUGCAGGGGAGACUGGAAUUCCUGGUGUAGCGGUGGAAUGCGCAGAUAUCAGGAGGAACACCGGUGGCGAAGGCGGGUCUCUGGGCAGUAACUGACGCUGAGGAGCGAAAGCGUGGGGAGCGAACAGGAUUAGAUACCCUGGUAGUCCACGCCGUAAACGGUGGGUACUAGGUGUGGGUUUCCUUCCUUGGGAUCCGUGCCGUAGCUAACGCAUUAAGUACCCCGCCUGGGGAGUACGGCCGCAAG
rnacentral:rRNA from 1 species